GCAUUUUGUACAAAUUGGAGAUUUUUCAGAUUGGUAGCGGUACAGCCUGAUAGAAGGACAUUACACUAGUCUAGACGGGAUGUAACGAAGCUGCGAUCCUAAAUCGGGUCAACAACUAAUGGGCAAACCCAGAACCCCAGCAGGGGAUUUCGUCCAUUAAAGUUCCCUGGUUUUCCUGGGCCCUUGUUCACCAUUGCCUGUUCUCCUCUUGAUCUCCACACGACGCUCAGUCAAGCCACAUCAAACGAGCUGCCGAGGUCCCCACUGGUGUGCAUACGGAGAUCACUCGAACUAGAACCACCCAAGUCUGGCAUAAGGCAUACUUAAAACAACUUUUUUAACUGCUCACUGGAAAAUGUAUGCAUUAAAGAAGGAAAUA